AAAAACAUUUGAAUCAGGAAUGAUCUGAUCGAGUAACCCGAAAACGGGGUAAAUUCAGGCAUUUUUAUGCUAGUUGGAUGUUUUGGUGUGGUUGGCUGGAUGUUUGCUGAGGUUAGUUGGAUGUUUUGGUGUGGUUGGCUGGAUGUUUGGUAAGGUUAGUUGGAUGAUUUGGUGUGGUUGGCUGGAUGUUUGGUGAGAUUAGUUGGAUGUUUUGGUGUGGUCGGCUGGAUGUUUGUGAAGGUUAGUUGGAUAUUUUGGUGUGGUUGGCUGUAUUUUGUGGAGGUUAGUUGGAUGUCUCGGUGUGGUGGGCUGGAUGUUUUUGUGUGGUUGGCUGAAUGUUUGUGGAGGUUAGCUGAAUGUUUUGGUGUGGUUGGCUGGAUGUUUGGUGAGGUUAGCUGGAUGUUUUGGUUUGGUUGGCGUGAUGUUUGGUAAGGUUAGUUGGAUGUCUUUGUGUGGUCGGCUGGAUGUUUGUGGAGGUUAGUUGGAUGUUUUGGUGUGGUCGGCUGGAUGUUUGUGAAGGUUA